AUUGAACGCUGGCGGCAGGCCUAACACAUGCAAGUCGAGCGGUAGAGAGGAGCUUGCUUCUCUUGAGAGCGGCGGACGGGUGAGUAAUGCCUAGGAAUCUGCCUAGUGGUGGGGGAUAACGUUCGGAAACGGACGCUAAUACCGCAUACGUCCUACGGGAGAAAGCGGGGGAUCUUCGGACCUCGCGCCAUUAGAUGAGCCUAGGUCGGAUUAGCUAGUUGGUGAGGUAAUGGCUCACCAAGGCGACGAUCCGUAACUGGUCUGAGAGGAUGAUCAGUCACACUGGAACUGAGACACGGUCCAGACUCCUACGGGAGGCAGCAGUGGGGAAUAUUGGACAAUGGGCGAAAGCCUGAUCCAGCCAUGCCGCGUGUGUGAAGAAGGUCUUCGGAUUGUAAAGCACUUUAAGUUGGGAGGAAGGGUUGUAGAUUAAUACUCUGCAAUUUUGACGUUACCGACAGAAUAAGCACCGGCUAACUUCGUGCCAGCCGCCGCAGUAACAC
rnacentral:rRNA from 1 species